rnacentral:lncRNA from 1 species
AAAUUUUCAUGAUAAUAAGCAUGUUUUACCUUCAUGAUUGUAAUUGAAUAUCUCUAGUAAAACCCUGUCCGAAUGUAUGAAAGUAUCAAAUUUUAUUUUCGGAUUUUCUUGAUCCUAACAAUUGGAUUUUCUUGAUACAUUAUCCUCUUUCGAACUUAACAAGCAUAUGUCAUAUCAAGUUUAAUUCACAUCAUUGAUUUUUGACAUAUGGAAUCAUCUAGCAAAUGCACUUAUCAUGUGAAAAAUAUUUUUCGAGAAACAUAUUUGAUGAUUCUCUCUUAUAAAAGGAAAAUAUUUUUACAUACAAGGAUUUGACUCACUUACAUAUCUUAAUCCUUGCAAAAAUGAAGUGUGCUUUAAUAUCUUAUCGAUUUGAACUUCACAUAUGGCUUUCCUCCUUCAUGUAAAAAGAUAACAAA